rnacentral:rRNA from 1 species
GACGUAGGGCGCGAGCGUUGUCCGGAUUUAUUGGGCGUAAAGAGCUCGUAGGCGGCUCGUUGCGUCGGCUGUGAAAACCCGCAGCUCAACUGUGGGCUUGCAGCUGAUACGGGCGGGCUGGAGUUCGGUAGGGGAGACUGGAAUUCCUGGUGUAGCGGUGAAAUGCGCAGAUAUCAGGAGGAACACCAAUAGCGAAGGCAGCUCGCUGGGACGGUACUGACGCUCAGGCACGAAAGCGUGGGGAGCAAACAGG